rnacentral:tRNA from 1 species
CACCGAAGUGGACCAGGGCGGUCGAGUCCUCUUGAGAGAGAUUGCCGAGCGUCGUUUCCAUCACAAUUUCGGUGU